AGAACUUAGCAGAGAUGCUUUGGUGCCUUCGGGGAACUCUGAGACAGGUGCUGCAUGGCUGUCGUCAGCUCGUGUUGUGAAAUGUUGGGUUAAGUCCCGCAACGAGCGCAACCCUUAUCCUUUGUUGCCAGCGGUCCGGCCGGGAACUCAAAGGAGACUGCCAGUGAUAAACUGGAGGAAGGUGGGGAUGACGUCAAGUCAUCAUGGCCCUUACGAGUAGGGCUACACACGUGCUACAAUGGCGCAUACAAAGAGAAGCGACCUCGCGAGAGCAAGCGGACCUCAUAAAGUGCGUCGUAGUCCGGAUUGGAGUCUGCAACUCGACUCCAUGAAGUCGGAAUCGCUAGUAAUCGUGGAUCAGAAUGCCACGGUCGAAUACGUUCCGGGCCUUGUACACACCGCCCGUCACACCAUGGGAGUGGGUUGCAAAAGAAGUAGGUAGCUUAACCUUCGGGAGGGCGCUUACCACUUUGUGAUUCAUGACUGGGGUGAAGUCGUAACAAGGUAGGCGUAGUGCU
rnacentral:rRNA from 1 species